GCAUUGUUCGGGCGACUCCCGGAGCGCGCACAGCCGGCUCGCAGCGCGGCACUACAGCGGCCCCGGCCCGGCCCCCGCCCGGCCCCGGCGCAGGCAGCUCAGAUCAAGGAGGUAUGCAAGCAGAGAAUCCCAACAUGGAUCCCUCAACCAAAAUCUACAGGCAUCACCAAGAUUUCCACUAAAGCCCCCACAGUGCCUAUGGAUAAGCCUAUUUACCAAAAUGGCUGUGGAAAGCUACACAUCGUGAGAACUGUUACCUCCAACACUUUCCUCCAUGUGGGAGGGAGAAGGUAACUCAUACCAAUGCACUGCCUGGAUACAUUCAUCUGCAGAAAUAUGUGGAAAGCUAAAAUUACCACUAUGAAAGGCCAAAGGACCAUCUCUACAGGAAAUGGUGAAGCAGCUUGGUGGACCUGAUGAAGAUCAUCCCCAAAAAAGCAGCACAUCUACAAUUAUUUUACUUCUAUAUGUGUAUGUGCACAUACAAACACUCACAGGCCUAGACCCACACCCAAAUCUACCCAUUUCCUCAUCCUACAUAUAAUCUAACCCAAAGAUGAACUAUCU
rnacentral:sRNA from 1 species